AGCCAUCUUUAGGUUUGCUAAUGAGCUCAGC
rnacentral:piRNA from 1 species